CAUGGUAUUUCCCUUCUCCCCGUUGACGGUCGACCGUCGUUCUCCUGAAUCUUCUCUACGGCCCUGCCUCUGCGAGUUUGCGACUGCCUUCUCCGGUCCUCCUCGGCGCCCAUUGGCUGUGUGACUACCGAGUGCCGACUGCCGCCUUGCUGUCAUUGCCACACCAUCAUCGCCGCUGCCGUCAAGCAGAUCAGUUCACCCCAUGAAGUUGAGGUAUCUUGCCCUGGAUUGAGGGCCGCCGGCCCCUCUCUCCAUCUAGCAGCAGUUGAAAGAAAAGAGAGAAGAAGACCAUCCAUGUCCUCAACUGGGAGAAAGAGAGAAGAAGACCGCCCAUUUGGUUCAUGGAGCUGUGGCAAGGGGCAUUUGAUUCGGUUUUGAUGAUAGGGAGGAAUCAUCUUGUGACGAAUGGCAAAUGAUAAUUCGAUGCAUAAUUCAUAUUUCAUUGUGGAUAACUAAAGAAAUGAAGUCAUAAUUAAAGUUUUCAUGAAAGUCAAAGUUUAAAUGUGUUUUAUUAAAUUAUGAUGUAAUUUUGCUGAUGGUUGAGGAACAAAAGUUAAUUAAUAUGUCAUUGUUAGUCUUGUGGAUUGCACUUUGUCUAAUAUUUUUACGUUGGGGAGGUCAUACUUGAUUAAAAUUUUGUAUGUUUCCUUUUUUUUUAAUGGUGUAUCAAAUGAAGACCAUAUCUUUUGCUCAUUUCAUA